rnacentral:rRNA from 1 species
UACGUAGGUGACAAGCGUUGUCCGGAUUUACUGGGCGUAAAGAGCGCGCAGGCGGUCGAUCAAGUCGAGUGUGAAAGCCCCCGGCUCAACUGGGGAGGGUCAUUCGAUACUGAUCGACUCGAAGGCAGGAGAGGGUAGUGGAAUUCCCGGUGUAGUGGUGAAAUGCGUAGAUAUCGGGAGGAACACCGGUGGCGAAGGCGGCAUCCUGGACCGGCAUUGACGCUGAGGAGCGAAAGCCAGGGGAGCAAACGGG